GUCCUACGGGAGGCAGCAGUGGGGGAUAUUGCACAAUGGGGGAAACCCUGAUGCAGCGACGCCGCGUGUGGGAAGACGGUCCUCUGGAUUGUAAACCACUGUCCCCAGGGACGAAGAUGACGGUACCUGGGGAGGAAGCUUCGGCUAACUACGUGCCAGCAGCCGCGGUAAUACGUAGGGAGCGAGCGUUGUCCGGAAUUACUGGGUGUAAAGGGCGUGUAGCCGGGUUGACAAGUCAGAUGUGAAAUCCUGCGGCUUAACCGCAGAACUGCAUUUGAAACUGUUGAUCUUGAGUACUGGAGAGG
rnacentral:rRNA from 1 species